UUUUUGUUUUCUUUUUGGGAUGUUUACUCAACUUUUUCUUUCAAUUUUCCUGCUUAGAAUUGUAUUUCAUGAUGCUUCAAAAAUUGUUUUUUAGCUUUUGAUUGUAGUUUCACCUCACACCACACUGAUGAUUAUUGCUAUUUAUAAAUAAAGUUCACCAAUCUUUUUAUGAUAUUAGAGUUUUAUAUUUUCAUCAUUUGCCAAAGAGCUUCCAGGAUAAUUUCUUCUGCUUAUUUGCCAUAGUGUCUCUUUUUAAUGUUGAAUACAGUCCUCAAAUGCCUAGUGAUUUCCUGAACAUCUACUUACAUGUAAGGAUAAAUUACCAAUAAGUAGAUGAUUUGGAACCAGAACCAGGAUACUCAAAACAUAUUGUACUUGCUCAAAUUUCUCUGAAAAUGAUGUCUCCUAGAUAUAAAACUACAAAUGUGGUCUGAAGAAAUUGAAGCUGUGGCAAAGAAACCUUCUAUCUUCUAGGAGAAUUUUCAACUUGUUUAUGGAAACACAGGAUGCUACUAAAAGAUAUGCAACAUUAAAAUUAAGAAAUGAAGGAGAAAAACUGAGAAACUGAUAUGGAAUCCGAGAAACAAGGAAGACAACACAAGAGAGGAAUGAAGAGAAUUUACAGGAUGAUUGUGGACAAUUGUACAUUAGACUUGAAGAACAGGCUUGCCCUGCCUCAUCCCUGAUAGUACAGUUUUGGAAUCCGGACACACCAGGAAUUGAACAGCACUGUGCUAAGUGUCAAAACUAAGCCAUUAUAUGACCUGUUGCCUACUAAACAUUUCUACUGAAAAAUUACAACCUUGCCACAGAGGAAAAGCAAUGUGUCCACCUAUGCCAGCCUCCUGAGCGAGAGCCGAGAGCCCCAGGACAGGGGCUUUCUCAAUGGGGCCACAGCUGCAGCUGCAGCAGAAACUCUGAGGGGUCUGGAGAGGGGUGCUGAGUGAAGUGGGCACUGGGGUGUUGACAGUGACCAUAGACUUCUUCCUUCAACUUUUUGCACUUGUUGCUUUUUGUACAUAAUCAUAGUGUUAGAUAGAACAAAGGUCUUAAGGUCUCCGAAGUUCUUACUAAAUGUUAUCUUGCUAAAUGUUAAAAUGUAGCACAGUAUUUUGCAGGUAGAACUGUAAACAGGAUGAACGGGUAAGGAACUCAAAGGAUAAAUGUAGCCAAUUGCAAAGAAGAAAUCAACAUGUAAUUGACCAAAUAAAUAAGCAAUGGCCAAGCCUCCCUUCCAGGAAACAGAGCUUUGGAUAUGAAUCCCCUGUCUCCUUUACUUGUGGCAAGUAAAUAAAACUACCUUGUUGAUGACCUGCAACAACCAUGGCUUGUCUCAUUCUGGAACAGAGCACCCCAAGCAGAAAACCUCUUGAGUUCCAUAACAAUAGCAUUUACCACUUAGAGGUAUGUCUGCUGACUCCUUGCUGGACAGGGGUCUCAAAGCUAAAGGUUGUGCCUAUUUGGGUAUCUCCAGUGCCUACAUGGUGCUUAAUACUUAAUAAAU